GCCCGCGUAGGCAAACUGGCAAAGCCGCCCGGUUCAGGCCCGGGAGUCUGGGAGUUCGACUCUCCCCGUGGGUA
rnacentral:tRNA from 1 species